UACGAGGGGUGCAAGCGUUGCUCGGAAUUAUUGGGCGUAAAGGGUAGGUAGGUGGUCUCAUUUGUCAGGGUGAAAGCCUUGGGCUUAACUCAAGAAGUGCCCCUGAAACGGUGAGACUCGAGUACUGGAGAGGGUCGUGGAAUUCCCGGUGGUAGUGGUGAAAUGCGUAGAUAAUCGGUGGAAGACACCAGUGGCGAAGGCGGUCAGCCUGGCCGUAUGAACG
rnacentral:rRNA from 1 species